AUUGAACGCUGGCGGAAUGCUUUACACAUGCAAGUCGAACGGCAGCACGGACUUCGGUCUGGUGGCGAGUGGCGAACGGGUGAGUAAUGUAUCGGAACGUGCCCAGUCGUGGGGGAUAACGUAGUGAAAAUUACGCUAAUACCGCAUACGAUCUAUGGAUGAAAGCGGGGGAUCGCAAGACCUCGCGCGAUUGGAGCGGCCGAUAUCAGAUUAGGUAGUUGGUGGGGUAAAGGCCCACCAAGCCAACGAUCUGUAGCUGGUCUGAGAGGACGACCAGCCACACUGGAACUGAGACACGGUCCAGGCUCCUACGGGAGUCAGCAGUGGGGAAUUUUGGACAAUGGGCGAAAGCCUGAUCCAGCCAUUCCGCGUGCAGGAUGAAGGCCCUCGGGUUGUAAACUGCUCUUGUACAGAACGAAAAGGUUUCUACUAAUACUAGGGGCUCAUGACGGUACUGUAAGAAUAAGCACCGGCUAACUACGUGCCAGCCGCCGCAGUAA
rnacentral:rRNA from 1 species